CCAUUUUACAUUUGAGAAAAUUUAAUUUUGUAUUAUUUAGUCGUACCUUAGUGUUAAUUAUAUUUCAUUGUAAUUAAAUUCAGAUUUGCCUAAAUUAUCUAUAAACGAUUAUUAGUUUAUUGUCAGACAUGAAGAAAACUAGUAUAUUUGGUAUAUUUCGAUCAAAUUUUUUUCGGACACGGAAUCUAAAAAGUUAUUAGCAUCACAAUGUUAAAUAAAAAAUACAGAAUUUUCAGACUUGGAGAAGAAUUUGAUGAAAUUUUUAUCCACAGAUGUGAUGAGAAUUAAUUACAACGCAACUUCAUAAUAAAUCUUCGAAUAAAUGUUCAAUACGUGAAGGAUGGGUGUUUGUUGCGGAGCUGCUCCUGGAGGAGAUCUUGCAUAGCUGAGUCGCAGUUCAAAGCGGAUGGUCCAGAAGAAGGAAGAUUUUUUUCUCUCUAAAAAGAUGAUAUGCUGUCAUCGUUUUUUAGACACUAUGCAGAAAUCCCCCCAUAUAGGUUUAUUUCAAUUUUCCAAAAAUAUCUAAAGAGACAAGGAAGGAUGUGGAAGAAGAAAAGUGGUCCCAGCAAACAGCUUUUUUUUUAUAAAAUUUUUUUUUUUAUUAUUUUUUUUAUAAAAUUUUUUUUUGUGCUCCCAACCUUUCGCAGAAGUGCGAGCAAGAGAGAGGGAUCUUUGGGAGUUGACCUGAAGCGCUCGUGUUGUUGGCGAUGUCACUAUUGCCCCGACGUGGGAUUCGCCGAUCGGCGAGUCGUUUUUUAUUUUACCCCUUCCCAGUUUAAAACUUUUCUUUUUUAAGUUUAAUUAAAAUAGAUUUGUAUUAUUUGCAAAUGAAAUUAUUAAGAUAUUCUUAAUUUUUAAAUUUUAGAAUUUUCUUGACUUUAUAUUUACUUUAUAUUUUCUCAAUAUAUCAUAUUGAUUUAAAAUAUUAAAAAUUAAAGAAAAAAAAAAAAAGAAAACAGGGAAGGAAUUCUGACAACAUAGUGACACCAUUGACAAAAAUUAUUAUUUUCUAGUAUUUUUUAGCGGUAAUAUAAAAAAAAACAUGUGAUAUUUUCGGAAAUUUAACACCUCAA